AUUGAACGCUGGCGGCAGGCCUAACACAUGCAAGUCGAGCGCGCGGCGGACGGGUGAGUAAUGUAUGGGGACUGCCCGAUCGAGGGGGAUAACUACUGGUAACGGUGGCUAAUACCGCCUACUAUCGGAUAACCCAUAUGGGCUUAGCUAGUAGGUGGGGUAAAGGCUCUCCUAGGCGACGAUCUCUAGCGGAUCUGAGAGGAUGAUCAACCACACUGGGACUGAGACACGGCCCCAACUCAGACGGAGACAACAGGGGGUAAUUAUGCACAAUGGGCUCAAGCCUGAUGCAGCCAGACCACGUGUAUGAUGAAGGCCUUAGGGUUGUAAAGUACUUUCAGCGGGGAGGCGUUACCCGCAGAGGAAGCACCGGCUAACUCCGUGCCAGCAGCCGCGGUGAUAC
rnacentral:rRNA from 1 species